CACCAAGCUGAGAAAACCUAACUCCAACAACAAAGCAAUUUCAAAGAAAUCAACUCUCAUCUGAGCUUCAUUUGUUCUUCCAUAUAAUUCUUAUUUCACUGGAACUACGGAUUACAAGAACCUUGCAACAAAAGAUAGAUAUUCUGAGAAUAUCAGCAUUCAAUUAUUCAUACCUCCAUUUUUCCAAGUCAUCUAUGGAAGCUCCAAAUGCAGGAACAAUUUCAUGGAGUGCAUU